UGAGGAAUAUUGGUCAAUGGACGCAAGUCUGAACCAGCCAUGCCGCGUGCAGGAUGACGGUCCUAUGGAUUGUAAACUGCUUUUGUACAGGAAGAAACACUCCCUCGUGAGGGAGCUUGACGGUACUGUAAGAAUAAGGAUCGGCUAACUCCGUGCCAGCAGCCGCGGUAAUACGGAGGAUCCAAGCGUUAUCCGGAAUCAUUGGGUUUAAAGGGUCCGUAGGCGGUUUUAUAAGUCAGUGGUGAAAGCCAGCAGCUCAACUGUUGAACGGCCAUUGAUACUGUAAGACUUGAAUUACUUGGAAGUAACUAGAAUAUGUAGUGUAGCGGUGAAAUGCUUAGAGAUUACAUGGAAUACCAAUUGCGAAGGCAGGUUACUACGAGUAUAUUGACGCUGAUGGACGAAAGCGUGGGGAGCGAACA
rnacentral:rRNA from 1 species